GACUGCUCCUGAGAUAGCGGCGGACGGGUGAGUAACACGUGGGCAACCUGCCUGUAAGACUGGGAUAACUUCGGGAAACCGGAGCUAAUACCGGAUAAUCCAUUCCCUCUCAUGAGGGAAUGCUGAAAGACGGCAUCUCGCUGUCACUUACAGAUGGGCCCGCGGCGCAUUAGCUAGUUGGUGAGGUAACGGCUCACCAAGGCCACGAUGCGUAGCCGACCUGAGAGGGUGAUCGGCCACACUGGGACUGAGACACGGCCCAGCAGCAGUAGGGAAUCUUCCGCAAUGGACGAAAGUCUGACGGAGCAACGCCGCGUGAGCGAUGAAGGCCUUCGGGUCGUAAAGCUCUGUUGUCAGGGAAGAACAAGUACCGGAGUAACUGCCGGUACCUUGACGGUACCUGACCAGAAAGCCACGGCUAACUACGUGCCAGCAGCCGCGGUAAUACGUAGGUGGCAAGCGUUGUCCGGAAUUAUUGGGCGUAAAGCGCGCGCAGGCGGUCCUUUAAGUCUGAUGUGAAAGCCCACGGCUCAACCGUGGAGGGUCAUUGGAAACUGGGGGACUUGAGUGCAGAAGAGGAGAGUGGAAUUCCACGUGUAGCGGUGAAAUGCGUAGAGAUGUGGAGGAACACCAGUGGCGAAGGCGACUCUGUGGUCUGUAACUGACGGUGAGGCGCGAAAGCGUGGGGAGCGAACAGGAUUAGAUACCCUGGGUAGUCCACGCCGUACACGAUGAGUGCUAAGUGUUAGAGGGUUUCCGCCCUUUAGUGCUGCAGCAAACGCAUUAAGCACUCCGCCUGGGGAGUACGGCCGCAAGGCUGAAACUCAAAGGAAUUGACGGGGGCCCGCACAAGCGGUGGAGCAUGUGGUUUAAUUCGAAGCAACGCGAAGAACCUUACCAGGUCUUGACAUCCUCUGACAACCCUAGAGAUAGGGCGUUCCCCUUCGGGGGACAGAGUGACAGGUGGUGCAUGGUUGUCGUCAGCUCGUGUCGUGAGAUGUUGGGUUAAGUCCCGCAACGAGCGCAACCCUUGUCCUUAGUUGCCAGCAUUCAGUUGGGCACUCUAGGGAGACUGCCGGUGACAAACCGGAGGAAGGUGGGGAUGACGUCAAAUCAUCAUGCCCCUUAUGACCUGGGCUACACACGUGCUACAAUGGAUAGAACAAAGGGCAGCGAAGCCGCGAGGUGAAGCCAAUCCCAUAAAUCUAUUCUCAGUUCGGAUUGCAGGCUGCAACUCGCCUGCAUGAAGCCGGAAUCGCUAGUAAUCGCGGAUCAGCAUGCCGCC
rnacentral:rRNA from 1 species